ACACUAUUGGCCUAAUGGUAAGGCGUCUGUCUCCUAAACAGAAGACUGCGGGUUCGAGUCCCGUGUAGUGUG
rfam:Sugiyamaella lignohabitans strain CBS 10342 chromosome A, complete sequence.